rnacentral:lncRNA from 1 species
AGGAGUCAAGAAGCCAUUGAGCUAUUUUAGAGCUGUAGAGCUGGUCAAGCUGAGAUGCUUUAUUAUUUUUCCUUGUGGAUUUUUGGAUGGGUAACAGAGUCUACUUAAUAGAUAUUACUUCUUGUGCAAAUAAAGUAUGAGUCUUCCUAUUCUUUUAUGAAAUAUCCAGGGGCACAUCUGUUUGUGAUCUCUAGUGCUGUCAAGUUCAUUUGGAACUGUCAACUGUGUUUCCAGGAAUUUUAGGAAAUGAGGAACAAAGUCUUGUUAUUAUAGGAAGCUGAUCUGGGGAUGCAUUUUUUAAAAAUGAUGAAGAAAAAGCCCUUCAUGCGCAGAUUCUAAAUUAUUUCAAAUUUCUGUCAGGUAUAUAUUCACUGGGAUAUUUUUUUUUUCCAUUUCAGUGGGUAAGACGAAGAAGAAAAAAAAAAAAAUGUGGUUCAGCCUUUGAGAAUAAUCCUCAAUAUAGGAUAAGAUAGGAGACAAAAGGAUAUUGAGGGUUCUCUUCCCUUUUGAGGAUUUCUGGAAGUAAAUUUUAACAUUGCUGUUGGCACCAAGAGUCCCAUCACUGCUUCUCAUAAGUUCUCCUGCAGCACUGCUAUUGAUGCUGGUCUUAUAACAAGAAUAGCAUGGGACCAGAUCGCUCAUAGCCCUUAAACUGAAUGGCAAACAACAGCACAGAGAAGCAGAGUUUCAGCUAUAGAUAGAAAGGUUACUGUUUGUUCUUGUGUGUAUGUUAAUUUAUUCUCUGCAGAAGUGGAAAAAUGAGUUUAAUCCAAUUUUGGCUGACCAAGAGAAAGACAGGUAGUUUCUGUUGUUUUUUUCUUAUAAGACUCUUAACAGACUCUUUCCAACACAAGGGGUGGGGUAGGAAAAAAGCAAGAUAAACAGCCAACUUCCAGGUAAUUAAUACUCAUUACUCCUUCAUCAAAGAACAAAUGAGGUGUAGUGUUUUCCAUGUUCAUUUCUGGAGAUCCAAAUCUUGGGGUUUAUUUGAUACAAUAUGCAAUGCUGUGAAGAAAACCCAGGCAUCUUGCCCACUAGCCUUGUGCACUAGAUGUCAGAUUGCUGGAGAGAAUCAUUCCAAGCCUAGGUUUCACCACUGCUUUUUGCAUCACUGGCAGCAUAACCCUCUUGCAGAUUGAAUGAUCCCAUCUACAGCUCCUUUCUGCUUCUGAGGACCCAUACAGGACUGCAACAUCAACAUCUAGAGCAGAACAGUGAGGAUCACGGCUUGGAAUACAGCAACAGCAAAAGGAUACAGAAAAGAGAAGAAACGGGAAAGCAAAUUAUCUGGGGGCUCAUUGCCUGCAGCUCCUGUCAUCUGCCCCACCAGCAGCAGAAGUGUGGUGCCCACAUAUAAACACUGAGGAGACCUCUCCAUUUGAGUACCUCCACACUGUACUUUCCAGGACAAUAGGUUUGCCUUCAUUGUCAGUUCAGUGAGGUAAAGCUUUGGCUAAAUUUUUACAAGACUGACAUCGUUCAUCCAGCAAUAGGAAAAGUCUGCAUUUUUUACCUACUUGGUUUCAGAAGAAGGCUAAGCAGUUUCAGACCUGGAUGAAAGAUGUCUUGUCUGAGUCAGCAGUGCUCUUCUCCAGCAUUUUGCAAGGUGUUUUCUCCUGCUGGCAAAAUCAGAAAUAAUAACAACUUAUCAAGGUUUUUAAAGGGACAACACUUUGGUCUCUAAUGGAAAUUUACUUCCAUUCCACCUUGUUAAGAGUUUGUUUACAUGGAAAUAAAUAGAAGGCAUUACUUUCGGAGCAAUCUAUAUGCGACCCAAGAAAAUUCCUCAUCACUCAGUGUGACUCAGACAAGCCAAAAAGUUGGACAUCCAUGAUUACGAUGAUUGCUAACCUUAACAAGAUUGGGAAUAAGAGUGAGGACCUCAAUCCUCGGUCCCAGUUUCCUCGGGGGAAUCAAUCCUUCCAUUAAAUAUCCAAGGAAGUUGCCGGUGGAUAUCUAUCCACAGUGAAUCUGGUGGCCAGAGUAGCUGGGUACAUUGAAUCCUCUACUUCAAAAGUCGAUGAGGUGUUGUUACUGUGAAUGUAAAACACAUGGGAGACGGAAGGGAGAAAAAGAAGGUGUGUGUCAUUUUGCAAUCAGUUCCCUAGAAAAAAAAAAAAAAAAACAGAUUAAGGUUUCUAUACUCUGAAUUUUAUCUGCCUCUUAUAGAGCUGUCAGGUUGAACACAGCUUUUGUAUUUAACAAAAAUAAUCAGGUAGGCCAUGAAUUUUAAUAAAACAAGCAACAGCUCUGGG